AACGAACGCUGGCGGCAGGCCUAACACAUGCAAGUCGAGCGAGGACUUCGGUCCUAGCGGCGGACGGGUGAGUAACGCGUGGGAACGUGCCCUUUGCUUCGGAAUAGCCCUGGGAAACUGGGCGUAAUACCGGAUGAGCCCUUUGGGGGAAAGAGUUAUCGGCGAAGGAUCGGCCCGCGUUGGAUUAGGUAGUUGGUGGGGUAAUGGCCUACCAAGCCGACGAUCCAUAGCUGGUUUGAGAGGAUGAUCAGCCACACUGGGACUGAGACACGGCCCAGACUCCUACGGGAGGCAGCAGUGGGGAAUCUUAGACAAUGGGGGAAACCCUGAUCUAGCCAUGCCGCGUGAGCGAUGAAGGCCUUAGGGUUGUAAAGCUCUUUCAGCUGGGAAGAUAAUGACGGUACCAGCAGAAGAAGCCCCGGCUAACUCCGUG
rnacentral:rRNA from 1 species